UACGAAGGGGGCUAGCGUUGUUCGGAUUUACUGGGCGUAAAGCGCACGUAGGCGGAUAUUUAAGUCAGGGGUGAAAUCCCGGGGCUCAACCCCGGAACUGCCUUUGAUACUGGAAAGCUCGAGUCCGGGAGAGGUGAGUGGAACUGCGAGUGUAGAGGUGAAAUUCGUAGAUAUUCGCAAGAACACCAGUGGCGAAGGCGGCUCACUGGCCCGGUACUGACGCUGAGGUGCGAAAGCGUGGGGAGCAAACAGG
rnacentral:rRNA from 1 species